rnacentral:rRNA from 1 species
AUGGCGUGGUGGAAGAACGGCGCAUUGGUCGCCGCGGCGUCGCUCGCCGUGGCCGCGGUGGUGUGCGCCGGGGUGGCGGCGGCGGCGAGCAAGUUCGACGACGUGGUGCAGCCCAGCUGGGCCAACGACCACGUCCUCUACGAGGACGACCUCCUCAAGCUCCGCCUCGACAGCUCCUCCGGCGGCGGAUUUGCGUCCAAGAACAGGUUCUUGUACGGCAAGGCGACCGCGGAUCUGAAGCUCGUGCCGGGGGACUCCGCUGGCGUCGUCACUGCUUUCUAUGUGACUGUCGUCGGCGGGGGAGAAGCACAACGAGUUCGACUUCGAGUUCCUGGGCAACGUCACCGGCGAGCCGUACCUGGUGCAGACCAACCUGUACAUCGACGGCGUGGGCAACCGGGAGCAGCGCAUCGACCUCUGGUUCGACCCCACCGCCGACUUCCACACCUACGCCGUGCUCUGGAACCCCAGCCAGGUCGUCUUCCUCGUCGACGACACCCCCAUCCGCGUCUACGACAACAAGAACGCCUCCGCCACCAAGCCCAAGGGCCACCACCGCCACCCCAACGCCACCACCACCCAGGCCCAAACGGCGUCCGCGUUCCCGUCGCCGCAGCCCAUGGCCGUGUACAGCUCCAUCUGGAACGCGGACGACUGGGCCACGCGCGGCGGGCUGGUCAAGACGGACUGGUCGCACGCGCCGUUCGUGGCCACGUUCCGGGACGUGCGCGUGGAGGGCUGCGCCUGGGCCGCCAACGCCUCCGACUCGGACGCCGGCGAGGUGGCGCGCUGCAGCGGCAGCUCGUGGGGCAAGGAGGGCCGCUACUGGUGGAAGGAGAAGGACAUGCAGGAGCUGUCCGUGCACCAGAGCCACCAGCUGGUGUGGGCGCGCGCGCACCACCUCGUCUACGACUACUGCGUCGACACCGAUCGCUUCCCCGUCCAGCCGCCCGAGUGCGCCGGCCGCUGAUCCGCCGCGUCGUCGCCGGCCACCUCCGUCGGAAUCUUAAUUAG